GUUACAACCAGAACAUGAUGAAC
rnacentral:siRNA from 1 species